AUUGAACGCUGGCGGCAGGCUUAACACAUGCAAGUCGAGCGGAGAUGAGGUGCUUGCACCUUAUCUUAGCGGCGGACGGGUGAGUAAUGCUUAGGAAUCUGCCAUUUAGUGGGGGACAACAUUCCGAAAGGAAUGCUAGUACCGCAUACGUCCUACGGGAGAAAGCAGGGGAUCUUCGGACCUUGCGCUAAAUGAUGAGCCUAAGUCGGAUUAGCUAGUUGGUGGGGUAAAGGCCUACCAAGGCGACGAUCUGUAGCGGGUCUGAGAGGAUGAUCCGCCACACUGGGACUGAGACACGGCCCAGACUCCUACGGGAGGCAGCAGUGGGGAAUAUUGGACAAUGGGGGGAACCCUGAUCCAGCCAUGCCGCGUGUGUGAAGAAGGCCUUAUGGUUGUAAAGCACUUUAAGCGAGGAGGAGGCUACUGAGACUAAUACUCUUGGAUAGUGGACGUUACUCGCAGAAUAAGCACCGGCUAACUCUGUG
rnacentral:rRNA from 1 species